rnacentral:rRNA from 1 species
GUACACGCUGUGACUAGCAUAUCAAUAAGCGGAGGAAAAGAAACUAACAAGGAUUCCCCUAGUAACGGCGAGUGAAGCGGGAAGAGCUCAAAUUUGAAAUCUUAAAGGGUUUCCCUUUACGAAUUGUAGUUUAAAGAAGUGUUUUCUGUUGAGGUUUUGGUAAAAGUUCUUUGGAAUAGGACAUCAUAGAGGGUGAGAAUCCCGUAUUUGACCUUUACUUUCAACUUUGUGAUACACUUUCAAAGAGUCGGAUUGUUUGGGAAUGCAGUCCAAAAUGGGUGGUAAAUCUCAUCUAAAGCUAAAUAUUGGCGAGAGACCGAUAGCGAACAAGUACCGUGAGGGAAAGAUGAAAAGAACUUUGAAAAGAGAGUUAAACAGUACGUGAAAUUGUCAAAAGGGAAGCGUUUGACACCAGUGUUGUUUUUCUGAAAAUCAAUUAAAGAACUGUUUAUGCUAAGUUGUUUAGACUUUAUCAGCUAACUGUUUAGUUUUGAGCUUUUCUUUAAUGCACUUUUCAGUUAACAAGUCAACAUCAAUUUCUUUUGCUGUAAAAAAGCUUGAGGAAGGUGGCUUGAGAUUCGUCUUAAGUGUUUAUAGCCUCUUGCCUAUGCAGUCGGAGAGAUUGAGGUCUGCAGCGUAGAUCCUUCGGGGCUAAAUGCAUUUGUGCUAAGUUAUAGCAUUUUAUAGACAACUUGUUGACUAUGAUUUGUCUUGUAGCUUACUCGCUUAUGUUAUUUUACCUACGCUUAGGAUGUUGAGUCGUAGAGCACGCAG